AAACUUAAAGGAAUUGACGGGGGCCCGCACAAGCAGUGGAGUAUGUGGUUUAAUUCGAAGCAACGCGAAGAACCUUACCAGGACUUGACAUACCAUUGACUUAUCUAGAGAUAGAUAUUUCCUUCGGGACAAUGGAUACAGGUGGUGCAUGGUUGUCGUCAGCUCGUGUCGUGAGAUGUUGGGUUAAGUCCCGCAACGAGCGCAACCCCUGUUGUUAGUUGCCAUCAUUUAGUUGGGCACUCUAGCGAGACUGCCGGUGACAAAUCGGAGGAAGGUGGGGACGACGUCAAAUCAUCAUGCCCCUUAUGUCCUGGGCUACACACGUACUACAAUGGCUAUUACAGCAGGAUGCGAAGGAGUAAUCUGGAGCCAAUCCCUAAAAAUAGCCCCAGUUCAGAUUGUGGGCUGAAACUCGCCCACAUGAAGUCGGAAUUGCUAGUAAUUGCAGGUCAGCAUACUGCAGUGAAUACGUUCCCGGGCCUUGUACACACCGCCCGUCACACCAUGAGAGUCUGCAACACCCGAAGUCAGUAGUUUAACCAGUAAUGGAGAGCGCUGCCGAAGGUGGGGCCGAUGAUUGGGNUGAAGUCGUAACAA
rnacentral:rRNA from 1 species